GACGGGCCUCCCUGCAUGGUGAAGCGGCCAACCGGGUCAGGUGGGGAACCAAGCAGCCCUAACUGUGGAGUCAGUGCCAGGAUCCAGGUCCGUCAAC
rnacentral:SRP_RNA from 1 species